AGUGAACGCUGGCGGUAGGCCUAACACAUGCAAGUCGAACGGCAGCACAGUAAGAGCUUGCUCUUACGGGUGGCGAGUGGCGGACGGGUGAAGAAUACAUCGGAAUCUACUUUUUCGUGGGGGAUAACGUAGGGAAACUUACGCUAAUACCGCAUACGACCUACGGGUGAAAGCAGGGGAUCUUCGGACCUUGCGCGAUUGAUUGAGCCGAUGUCGGAUUAGCUAGUUGGCGGGGUAAAGGCCCACCAAGGCGACGAUCCGUAGCUGGUCUGAGAGGAUGAUCAGCCACACUGGAACUGAGACACGGUCCAGACUCCUACGGGAGGCAGCAGUGGGGAAUAUUGGACAAUGGGCGCAAGCCUGAUCCAGCCAUACCGCGUGGGUGAAGAAGGCCUUCGGGUUGUAAAGCCCUUUUGUUGGGAAAGAAAAGCAGCAGGUUAAUACCCCGCUGUUCUGACGGUACCCAAAGAAUAAGCACCGGCUAACUUCGUG
rnacentral:rRNA from 1 species